rnacentral:rRNA from 1 species
GACGAACGCGGCGGCGUGCCUAAUACAUGCAAGUAGAACGCACAGUAUAUACCGUAGCUGCUACACCAUAGACUGUGAGUUGCGAACGGGUGAGUAACGCGUAGGUAACCUGCCUGGUAGCGGGGGAUAACUAUUGGAAACGAUAGCUAAUACCGCAUAAUAUUAAUUAUUGCAUGAUAAUUGAUUGAAAGAUGCAACUGCAUCACUACCAGAUGGACCUGCGUUGUAUUAGCUAGUAGGUGAGGUAACGGCUCACCUAGGCGACGAUACAUAGCCGACCUGAGAGGGUGAUCGGCCACACUGGGACUGAGACACGGCCCAGACUCCUACGGGAGGCAGCAGUAGGGAAUCUUCGGCAAUGGACGAAAGUCUGACCGAGCAACGCCGCGUGAGUGAAGAAGGUUUUCGGAUCGUAAAGCUCUGUUGUAAGAGAAGAACGGGUGUGAGAGUGGAAAGUUCACACUGUGACGGUAUCUUACCAGAAAGGGACGGCUAACUACGUGCCAGCAGCCGCGGUAAUACGUAGGUCCCGAGCGUUGUCCGGAUUUAUUGGGCGUAAAGCGAGCGCAGGCGGUUAGAUAAGUCUGAAGUUAAAGGCUGUGGCUUAACCAUAGUACGCUUUGGAAACUGUUUAACUUGAGUGCAGAAGGGGAGAGUGGAAUUCCAUGUGUAGCGGUGAAAUGCGUAGAUAUAUGGAGGAACACCGGUGGCGAAAGCGGCUCUCUGGUCUGUAACUGACGCUGAGGCUCGAAAGCGUGGGGAGCGAACAGG